rnacentral:rRNA from 1 species
UACGUAGGGGCCGAGCGUUGUCCGGAGUUACUGGGCGUAAAGCGCGCGCAGGCGGCCACUUAAGCCCGGCGUGAAAGCCCCCGGCUCAACCGGGGAGGGUCGUCGGGGACUGGGUGGCUUGAGGACGGCAGGGGCUGGUGGAAUCCCCGGUGUAGUGGUGAAAUGCGUAGAGAUCGGGGGGGAACACCCGUGGCGAAGGCGGCCAGCUGGGCCGGUCCUGACGCUGAGGCGCGAAGGCGUGGGGAGCGAACGGG